GACGAACGCUGGCGGCGUGCUUAACACAUGCAAGUCGAACGGGCCUGUCUUCUUUUUUGGGGGGUGGGUUGAGUGGCGAACGGGUGAGUAUCACGUGAGUAACCUGCCCUUCGGUCCUGGAUAACCGCUUGAAAGGGCGGCUAAUACGGGGUGGUCCGGUUGGUCCGCAUGGGCUGGUCGGGAUAGCUUCACUGUUUUUGGUGUUUCGGCGGGGGAUGGGCUCGCGGCCUAUCAGCUUGUUGGUGGGGCGAUGGCCUACCAAGGCGGUGACGGGUAGCCGGCCGGGGAGGGUGGGCGGCCAGACUGGGACUGAGAUACAGCCCAGACUCGUGCGGGAGGCAGCAGUGGGGGGUAUUGCACAAUGGGCGGAAGCCUGAUGCAGCGACGUCGCGUGAGGGAUGGAGGCCUUCGGGUUGUGAACCUCUGUUGCCGGUGGUGAAGGCCCUGUCCGUGUGGUGGGGUUGACGGUAGCCGGGGAUGAAGCGCCGGCUAACUACGUG
rnacentral:rRNA from 1 species